AGUAGCUCAGCGGUAGAGCAGCUGACUGUUAAUCAGCGGGUCAUAGGUUCGAAUCCUAUCU
rnacentral:tRNA from 1 species